UACAGAGGUCUCAAGCGUUGUUCGGAAUCACUGGGCGUAAAGGGUGUGUAGGCUGCGUGUUAAGUCAGAUGUGAAAUCCCGGGGCUCAACCCCGGAACUGCAUCCGAUACUGGCAUGCUGGAGAAUUGGAGAGGAGUCUAGAAUUCACGGUGUAGCAGUGAAAUGCGUGGAUAUCGUGAGGAAUACCAAGUGCGAAGGCAGGACUCUGGACAUUAUCUGACGCUGAGACACGAAGGCCAGGGGAGCAAACGGG
rnacentral:rRNA from 1 species